rnacentral:rRNA from 1 species
GAACGCUGGCGGCGUGCCUAAUACAUGCAAGUCGAACGGUCUUUCUAUGGAAGCUUGCUUCCACUGAGAGGAUAGUGGCGAACGGGUGAGUAACACGUGGGUAACCUGUCCAUAAGAGGGGGAUAACAUCCGGAAACGGGUGCUAAUACCGCAUAGUUUUCUUGAUCGCAUGAUUGGAAGGAAAGACGGCCUUUGUGCUGUCGCUUAUGGAUGGACCCGCGGCGUAUUAGUUAGUUGGUGAGGUAACGGCUCACCAAGACGAUGAUACGUAGCCGACCUGAGAGGGUGAUCGGCCACAUUGGGACUGAGACACGGCCCAAACUCCCACGGGAGGCAGCAGUAGGGAAUCUUCCGCAAUGGACGAAAGUCUGACGGAGCAACGCCGCGUGAGUGAAGAAAAGGUUUUCGGAUCGUAAAACUCUGUUGUCAGAGAAGAACAAGUUGGAGAGUAACUGCUCCAGCCUUGACGGUAUCUGACCAGAAAGCCACGGCUAACUACGUGCCAGCCGCUGC